GAUGAAGAACGUAGCAAAAUGCGAUAAGUAAUGUGAAUUGCAGAAUUCAGUGAAUCAUCGAAUCUUUGAACGCACAUUGCGCCCGCCAGUAUUCUGGCGGGCAUGCCUGUUCGAGCGUCAUUACAACCCUCAGGCCCCCGGGCCUGGCGUUGGGGAUCGGCGGAGCCCCCCGUGGGCACACGCCGUCCCCCAAAUACAGUGGCGGUCCCGCCGCAGCUUCCAUCGCGUAGUAGCUAACACCUCGCGACUGGAGAGCGGCGCGGCCACGCCGUAAAACACCCAACUCUUCUGAAGUUGACCUCGAAUCAGGUAGGAAUACCCGCUGAACUUAAGCAUAUCAAAAGCGGAGGA
rnacentral:misc_RNA from 1 species